AAGAGGAAUCGGAUUGUGAUUUUGAUGGCACGAAUUCAGUUCAAAACCAAAGUAUAGCAAUCCCAGCCAAAUUCAUUGCCAUAGCCGAUAGCUUCGAGAAGAAAGAGCAUUCAUGGUUUGCCACUUCUCAAAUUCCAACAGAUCUAUCCAUUCUAGUUCAAGACAUCACCUUCAACGUUCACAAGUUUCCGCUGAUUUCAAGAUGUGGCUUCAUAGGCCGAAUAGGAUUCCAGCCUUCAAACUCAAAUUUAGGGUACGACAUCAAGCUUGAGAAUUUCCCAGUUUGGAGGUC